GAACUGCGCGAACGUUAUUCGGGAAUCACUGGGCUUAAAGAGUCCGUAGGCGGCCUGGCAGGUGGGGGGUGUGAAAGCCCACGGGCUCAACCGUGGAAUUGCGCUCCAAACCGUCCGGCUAGAGGGAGAUAGAGGUGAGCGGAACUGAUGGUGGAGCGGUGAAAUGCGUUGAUAUCAUCAGGAACACCGGUGGCGAAAGCGGCUCACUGGGUCUCUUCUGACGCUGAGGGACGAAAGCUAGGGGAGCGAACGGGAUUAGAUACCCCGGUAGUCCUAGCUGUAAACGAUGAGCACUAGAUCGGGGGGACCCCCACAUCCUCCUGGUCGUAGCGAAAGUGUUAAGUGCUCCGCCUGGGGAGUAUGGUCGCAAAGGCUG
rnacentral:rRNA from 1 species